rnacentral:rRNA from 1 species
CACGUAGGGGGCAAGCGUUGUCCGGAUUCAUUGGGCGUAAAGAGCUCGUAGGCGGUUCGAUAAGUCGGGUGUGAAACCUCCAGGCUCAACCUGGAGACGCCACCCGAUACUGUCGUGACUAGAGUCCAGUAGGGGAGCGUGGAAUUCCUGGUGUAGCGGUGAAAUGCGUAGAUAUCAGGAGGAACACCUGCGGUGUAGACGGCUUACUGGACCAUAACUGACGCUGAGGCACGAAAGCGUGGGUAGCAAACAGG